CUCGUGCCGGGCAUCUAGAGAACUGGCAGCUGUUCUCAUGGCAGUUCGCGCUCCCGCUCUCGCGGCUACGGCUUGGCGCUGUUCCUUGGCUGGGGCUGGAGUGUACAUUUCCUGGUUGCGCGACGGAACCCUGACCUGCUUAGCUGCUGAACCCUCCUGGCGCUGCAGCUUCUCCCUCCAGUGAUGAUCUCUGCGGAUCUCGGUGCCCCAUCCACACAACACAACCAGCAUCGGCGUAGCAGCUGUCCCGACCCGCUAGCAACCCCAGUUAGCUCCUGCUCCUCCUGCUCCGCAGGGACGGCCAGGGGGACUUCAUAACCCCAUCCGUCCAGAGGUGCGGGGGACUUCAUAACCCCACUGGCCAGAGGUGAUGGGAGGACUUCAUAACCCCCCCGGCCAGAGGUGAUGGGAGGACUUCAUAACCCCCCCGGCCAGAGGUGCUGGGGAACAUCAUAACCCCCCCGGCCAGAGGUGCUGGGGGACAUCAUAACCCCCUCGGCCAGAGGUGCUGGGGGACAUCAUAACCCCACGUGGCCAGAUGUGCUGCGGGGGGACUUCAUAUUUGUCACCUGGCCAGAGGUGCUAGGAAGAUUGCAUAAUCCUCAGCUGGCCAGAGGCGCAACACCGUUUUUGUUGUCAUCAAAGCUGUACCUCUUCAGUGACAAUUUUAACUAUUGCGUUAAGCAAACCCUCCCCCAAACCCAUAACAAAUCCCUCUUUAUGGUUUUCAUGUGAUUUAUUAUCUUGCAUUAGUGUGGUAAUAGUCGACAACAUCUAAAACAUAGACAGCAUGCUACUGCACACAUCUCCUUAGGAGGAGAAAAUCACAGCAUUAGAGAUUAUUCGACUGAAGGGAAGUCAUACUCUGCCUAGGCAGCCUUUUCGCCUCCAGUUUCAGCUCUCGUCUUUAUGCUGGUUUCCCAUACCUGUACGUGCAGCUCAUAUUUUUCUUGACGCACCAAAUCCAUAAUCUAAUCGAUGACUGUACAUCUCCAAGAAUCAAAGUGAGCGUAUAUAUGCAUAUAUAUGUGUUUGCUUAUUGUCUGUUUCACCCAUUAGCUCCGUAAGAGUCUUCCAGCUGAUGCCACUGCCACUUAUGAUACCAGGAUCAUAACUGAGACUCAAUAAAUAAUUAAUGAAAGAAUAAAUUAAUAUCUAUCGGGAAGGCCCAAACACUCAGCUAAAUUAUUCUCGUUUCCCUGUCAGCCUCUCUUCCCCAGUUUUCCAUCUUGAGGUAUAUACUGCAUAUCCUACAUCACCCAGCCAGAAACUCAGUGGUUGUAGUGAAUUUCUCCUCCUGCCCAUCUCCCUCACUCUUUCCUUUCAGGGAUAAGGAAUACCUUGAUUCCUGAAUCUUCUCUGAGGUGUACUCUCUCCUCCUCAUUGCCUUACCUUAGUUCAGACUCCAGACUCCUGGGAGGCCUCCCAACUAUUGCCUCUGACUCCAGUCCCUUAACACACCAGGUCAUCCACCUCCACACAGUCAAAGCUGACAACAUGCCUCCCCAGCCACUGCCCAUGUCUUGACCUCAGUAUUAACAACAUUUGGGCUGGACAAUCUGGUUGUGGAGGGCUGUCUCGUGCACCAUGGGACAUUUAGCAGCUUCCUUGGCCUCUACCCAGGAGAUUCCAAUAGCAACUCUCUCUAUCUCCAGUUGUGACAGCCGAAAUGUCUUCAAACAUUGCCAGAUGUCUUCUCGGAGUGCCAGAGGGAAGGUGCAAAUUCACCCCCAAUUAGAAACCACUGGCCUAUCGGAUAACUUUCCAACUCCAGAGCAGUAGGAUUCAGGACUGUUUCUGAGCUUGCCUUCCAAUCUGCUUCAUCUUUUCCUAUACAGUUCUGUACUGAAGAACUAUAGAGAGUUCAUUUCCAUGGGUAAGAAGACUCAAUAUCAUGACAAGCAGCAACUCUUUUCAGAUUAAUCAAUGCAAUUUCAAUCUGCAAAACAGGCCCCGGACUAUCUGCCCUUCUGAUACCCCUUGGCCUCAAGUUCUUCUGGUUUCUUUUUUAGGUACUUGGAGAGAUGAUAAAGGGAGAAGGAAAUGUCAGAGAAAAGGUCAGUGGCACUGGGGCAAGCCAUGGCCUGAGCCCUGGCUCUGAUAUAGCACUUCUAGCCUCCAAGUGGUACUGAGGCUGCAUGUGCUGUGACCCCAGUGAGUACUUCACGCUGAAAGCAGAAAGAUGCCUCCCCGAAACACUUCUCAUUUUCCCUCCAGUGACUGGGAGGCCUGGGGAGCAGGCCCUGGGUCCUGGCACAGUUCCACGUAAGGCCCUGGCUUUGCAAACACCUAUCCCAGUGCUCCUGUUUACACUCUGAAGGCAGACUGCGAGUCAGAGGAAAGGACAAAGCUGUGGUCUUGCAAGGCCCCUGGUCAUCCGUGUGCCUCCCACAAAUGCUUCCAAGUUCUCCUCAAAGGGAAGGGACUGUAUUCAUCUGUUUCUCACACUGCUGCAAAGACAUUCCAGAGAAUGGGUAAUGUAUGAAGAAAAGAGGUUUAUUUGGCUCACAGCUAUGCAGGCUGUACAGGCAUCUGCUUCUGUGGAGGCCUCAGGAAACUUACAAUUGUGGUGGAAAGGCAAAGGGGAAGCAAGCUGUCUCACAUGGUGGGAGCAAGAGGAAGAGAGAGAGGAGAAAGUGAUGCAUACUUUUAAACAAGCGGAUCUUCUAUCACAAGACAGCAAUAAAGGGAUGGUGCUAAAUCAUCAGAAACCACCCCCAUGAUUGAAUUACCUUCCACCAGGCCCCACCUCCAAAACUGAGAAUUGCAAUUCAACAUGAGAUUUGGGAAGGGACACAAAUCCAAACCAUGUUAGGAAGAUUGCCAUGGGCCUGUCAGGAAGGCCUGGAAAGCACAGGGCCUGAAGGGUCAGGCCCUGGACCUGUGUGGGCCUGGUCAUCAGCAGCGUCUCAAGAAAAUGUUUCUUAGUUCUCCUGAGGAGGAGCGGGGCCCAAGCCAGUGAGGCCACCAAGGGAGAGUCCCAGGCCUAGCCAUGGCCCUUGCUUCAGACACUCUUUCAGGCAGGGACCAGCCCAUGACAGACAUAAAGACUCCAGCAACAUGUCUCAGGCCUGGCUGUGGCUGCCAGAUGUGCCUUGAAGAUGGACACUAGUCUGAGCCAGCAAAAGGCCUGAAGAGUGUGCUUAUGAGGCAGCCAUGACCUCACAUGGGAAGUGGUCCUAGGAGGCACCCCCAGAGCUAACUUUCUAGGUCCCACUCCUAUGAUGGAGAGCCAGUGAGAACCAAGUGGUGGUCGGUUCUGCAUGGGCUUGGUCAUCCCAUGCAAGGCCCCAAAUAUUUUCAUGUCCUGCACCUGAAAAGGGGGCACUGCAGGCAAGCCAGGUCCACCCUGAUACUACACCCCAGCCUUAUCUGGUCCUGCAUAGAGGCAAGUCAUCUGAGGCAAUGCCCAACAGUUUCCUAGGCUCUCUUUGAUGGCAGAGACCGGUCUAGGAUGGCCCAGGAGCACUGUGGAAGUCCCUUGGCCCGAGAAGGGUCAGGGGUAGGUCCUGGCCAUCUGAUUUACCUGUGGAAAAUAUUUCUGUUCUGUGGGUAGCACUGAGCAGGAUGCCGUGAGAUGGUGCCCCAGGUCCAAACACAGUCCUAUGUGAGGUCUGGUCACUGGAUGAGCCUCUUGAAAUAUUAUCUAAGUCCCCCUCUGGAAACAAAGACUGUCUGGGAAUGAAGAGGGAGACCCAGUGAAGACACCACCCUGGCCGUGUCCCAGGCAUGGCUCAGUCACCAGAUGCUCCUAAAAUAUUUUUCUAUGUCUCUGGAAUGGGUGGCCAGAGAUUCCUGUGGGGGGUGUCAGUGUACUUGCCACUGGUCUAGAAAAUGUUUCAAAGUCCAGCUCUGGGCUGUGGUGCCUACCCCUGUGUUGGUGGGGACUAGCUAGACUGAGAAGGCCCCUCAGGGUGCAGGCUCCAGGCUUGAUCUAUUUGGUCAAUGCCUCUCCGUGAUGAUUUCUAUUUCUCUCUGGAGAUGGGGACAUCUUGGCAUGAACAGGAAGGCCCUGGGGAUGCCAAGACUAGUUACAUUGCUGCAUAGAACCUGGUCCCUUUCAGUGGCAGGACUGGCCCAUGCCACUGAAAGACCCAGCCUUGUGGGUCUGGUCAGGGCAUGAAUCUCCCUGAAACAUUUCCAAGUAGGCCCCUGGAGUGGGAGCAGUGGGCUGACUAGAGGAUCCCAGGGGAAGGCAUCUGGCCUCCAUCACGCAGAGUCCCAGUACUUGGUAAACUAGACCAACAAAUCUAUAAGUGUCCAGGGGUCAGGACCAGCACAAUUUGAACAGGCCAGAGGAGGGCCCCUCAAUCUUGCCACAGGUCCUCAUGGGGCACAGAUGGAUAUGUAUCUUAAAGAUGUUUCUGUCUCUCUGGCCGACAGUUCCAUGGAGGGCCCUGGGGCUCUGUUGCAUGAUGUACCUCCAAGGGUUUUCUAAGUCUCCCACUGCAGGGGAAGCGAACCUAGCCAGGGGGCCCAAGUGGGCCCAUGCUGCCCUUGCUGUUUAACAUGUCUUCAGAAAACCUUUCCAACUCACCUGCCAAGGUUGACGGCAGCUGGAGCAACUCUUCAUGCGCUGGGAGAUUUCCAGGCCCACUGAGGUUUCUUGAGGGGCUGGUCCCUGCAUAUGCCUCCCAGAAAAUGUCAAAGUAUUUUCCUGAAAGAAGGGCUCUGCUUGGCUGGGCUUUGGAAGAUGGGCUUUUAAAAAUUGUCAAGAUACUCAUCCAUGAUCAGGCCCAGGCAGGUGCUGUCCUUUGGAGUGUGCCUAGAAAACACUUUAGGAGGUGCUUUGAUAACUGAGUCCCACAAGGGAAGGCAUUCAGUUGGUCAGGUAUACCCAGGAAGGCCCCACCCUGGUGGGGAGGUGAUAGAAAUGUUUUAAGCAGGCACACGUGAUGACCAGGCUGGACAAGGGCGCCGUCCUCAAGUCUCUCCCUAGCCCUGAGAUCACUGUCCCCAUAUGGCCCUGCCACCAGUGGGGACAACUGUUGCACAGAGAGGCUGUUCUCUGCACUUCUGCACCUUGCACACAUACUCCGGGUUACUCAGUCCCACAGCAUAUGCACGCCUUGCUCACCUAUUCCACAUCAUGCUCACAUGACUCCGUGCACACCCAGGUGUUCUAUGCACAUCUGCUAUUAUAUUAAUUAUAUAUAUUUUUUGUUUUUAUUUUUAUUGACAAAUAAUGAUUGUAUGUUUUUACGGGGUGAAGUGUGGUGUUUUGAUAUACGUGUACAGUACGGAAUGAUUAUAGCAAGGCAAUUAACAUAUCACCCAUCACCUCACAUAUUGCUUUUGUGUGCAGUGAGAACAUGUAUUUAUGUAAACAUUUUUAUGGAUACAUAAUAAUUGUACAUAUUUUUGGAUUACAUGCGGUAUUUUGAUGUAAGCAUCCAAUGUAUAAUAAUCAAAUCUGGGCAACUAGGAUGUUCAUCACUGGGAACAUUUGUCAUUUCUUUGUGUUGGGAACAUUCUAUGUCUUUUCUACCAGCUCCUUUGAAAUAUCCAAUAAUAAAUUAUUGUCAGCCACG